rnacentral:rRNA from 1 species
AGUGAAUGCUGGCGGCAUGCUUUAUACAUGCAAGUCGAACGGAGAAGAAUUUUUUGUAGCAAUACAGAAAGUUUUUUUUAGUGGCGAACGGGUGAGUAAUAUAUAGGAACUUACUCAAUAGUGGGGGAUAACAGUUGGAAACGACUGCUAAUACCGCAUAUUCCCGAGAGGGGAAAGGUAUUUAUAUCGCUAUCGAAGAGGCUUAUAUCUGAUUAGCUAGUUGGUGAGAUAACUGCUUACCAAGGCAAUGAUCAGUAGCCGGUCUGAGAGGAUGAUCGGCCACAUUGGGACUGAGAUACGGCCCAAACUCCUACGGGAGGCAGCAGUAGGGAAUAUUGGACAAUGGACGAAAGUCUGAUCCAGCAAUGCCGCGUGAGUGAUGAAGGUGUUAUGCAUCGUAAAGCUCUCUUAACAGGGAAGAUAAUGACAGUACCUGUAGAAUAAGCACCGACUAACUAUGUGCCAGCAGCCGCGGUAAU